rnacentral:sRNA from 1 species
CUCGUGCCGACGUGUCUUGUAAGGUGCGGCUAGAAACUGGGGACAUGGCAGCGCCUGGCCCAGCGCUCUGCCUCUUCGACGUGGAUGGGACCCUCACCGCCCCGCGGCAGAAAAUUACCAAAGAAAUGGAUGACUUCCUACAAAAAUUGAGGCAGAAGAUCAAAAUCGGAGUGGUAGGCGGAUCGGACUUUGAGAAAGUGCAGGAGCAACUGGGAAAUGAUGUACAUUUCUGGAGUUACUGAUGGAGAACUGGGUACUCAGAUGUGUGAGUAGAUUCACCUAGAAAGGUCAGUGGCUGUAUCUGCACAUGGUAAUCUCUCCGCCUGGAAUACUUCUUGCUUGUACCCGUUCACAGCCCUUCUAGCCCCAGUCAGACCGGUCUUCAUAUUGUCCCUCUGACAGCCCCCCUCACCUCCCCAUCACUGAAACAAUCUCCAGCACAGGACCCCGAAAAACCAGAGGCUUAUUGACCCCUUCACUGGAGAGUCUGACUUGAUAGGUCUGUGGAGCCUGGGAAUCCUAUUUUA